rnacentral:rRNA from 1 species
UCUUAUAGACUAUAAGUUUGAUAGGCUGGGUGUGUAAUUGAUGUAAGUCAUUUAGCUGACCAGUACUAAUAGCUCGUUUGCUUAUCUUA